rnacentral:rRNA from 1 species
AUGUGCGGCAACGAGGUGGAGCACGACGAUGCAGCGUGCGGCGGGGCACACGGCCAGGAGUAUGGCGGCGUCACCGAGGUGCAGCGAGGCCAACGCAGAGGGCGACGAGGAGCAGCACCACGUCAUGGAGGUGACAACCACACCAAACAACCAACCAUCAGGAUAGGGCAAUGGCUUCUCAUGAUGGAGCACAAGGCGACGCUUGGGCUAUCGUUGGGAAUUUGUUACAGAGUGCUCCUUCAUCACCUAAAUGUUGCAUUUCAAAGUGUUGUUGAUGAUGAAGAAGAAACUAUGGUGACAUAUUCCACUCAUUAUAGUUGA